rnacentral:rRNA from 1 species
GACGAACGCUGGCGGCGCGCCUAACACAUGCAAGUCGAACGAGCGAGAGAGAGCUUGCUUUCUCGAGCGAGUGGCGAACGGGUGAGUAACGCGUGAGGAACCUGCCUCAAAGAGGGGGACAACAGUUGGAAACGACUGCUAAUACCGCAUAAGCCCACGGCUCGGCAUCGAGCAGGGGGAAAAGGAGCAAUCCGCUUUGAGAUGGCCUCGCGUCCGAUUAGCUAGUUGGUGAGGUAACGGCCCACCAAGGCGACGAUCGGUAGCCGGACUGAGAGGUUGAACGGCCACAGUGGGACUGAGACACGGACCAGACUCCUACGGGAGGCAGCAGUGGGGAAUAUUGCACAAUGGGGGAAACCCUGAUGCAGCGACGCCGCGUGGAGGAAGAAGGUCUUCGGAUUGUAAUCUCCUGUUGUUGGGGAAGAUAAUGACGGUACCCAACAAGGAAGUGACGGCUAACUACGUG